GGGCGAGUGGCGAAACUGGCAGACGCGCAAGCCUUAGGAGCUUGUGGGGAAACCCUUAGAGGUUCAAAUCCUCUCUCGCCCA
rnacentral:tRNA from 1 species